rnacentral:rRNA from 1 species
AUUGCAGAAUCCCGUGAACCAUCGAGUCUUUGAACGCAAGUUGCGCCCGAAGCCACUAGGCCAAGGGCACGCCUGCCUGGGUGUCACCAAUCGCCGCCCCAACCCCUGUGCCUCCGGCCACGGAGAGGGGCGAAUGCUGGCCUCCCGUGAGCACCGUCUCGCGGCUGGCUGAAAAUCGGGUUCGUGGUGGAUGCAGCGCCAUGACAUACGGUGGUUGAGCGUGUUCUCGAGGCCAGUCAUGCGGGCGGCCUCCACCGGCUCCGUACCCAGCGACCCGCGAGCGAUGUCGAUCGCCCACGACGCGACCUCAGGUCAGGCGGGGCUAC